AGCUCCCAGUAUCUCACAGAGGCCUAGGUGAUCUGCAGUGAUCCCACUGGAUUAACGGGUCCCUCUUCUCUGGUGCUACAAGCCUGCCAGACCUGCGCUCAGCACUCACCGUUCUCAGACAGAAGGGGCAAGAUAACGAACCUAGAUUACACCUGGACUUGAGACAAAUCGCAGAAUCUUGCAAGAGCCGAGUGAUGCCCUCACCUGCAGGAUGAUUUGCUGAUUCCUGAAGCCAAGUUCUGUGUUACGAGGCACCGCUCUGAAUGGUAGGGGAUGGACUAG